ACUUUCGCUAGGUCGAAACGGGCCUUAGCCCGUCCUACCGUAUUGCGGUAGCUGAUGAGACCUGAAUCAUAU
rnacentral:hammerhead_ribozyme from 1 species